CAUCAACGGAUGAAUGGGAGGAAAGAAACCACGACUAGACGCCAACGGACGAAUAGGAAGACUCAACCAGACAUCAACGGAUGAAUGGGAGGAAAGAAACCACGACUAGACGCCAACGGACGAAUAGGAAAGACUCAACCAGACAUCAACGAAUGAAUGGGAGGAAAGAAACCACGACUAGACGCCAACGCACGAAUAGGAAGACUCAACCAGACAUCAACGGAUGAAUGGGAGGAAAG
rnacentral:lncRNA from 1 species